GACGUAGGUGGCGAACGUUAUCCGGAAUUAUUGGGCGUAAAGGGUGCGUAGGUGGCCUGACAAGUUAUCAGUGGCAAAUCGAGGCUCAACCUCGUGGAAACUGGUAAUACUGUUCGGCUUGAGUACAGGGGAGGUUAACGGAACUCUAUGUGGAGCGGUAAAAUGCACAGAUAUAUAGAAGAACAUCAAUAAAGGCGAAGGCAGUUAACUAUUCUGUUACUGACGCUGAGGCACGAAAGCGUGGGGAGCAAAACGG
rnacentral:rRNA from 1 species